AUUGAACGCUGGCGGCAGGCCUAACACAUGCAAGUCGAGCGGUAGCACAGAGAGCUUGCUCUCGGGUGACGAGCGGCGGACGGGUGAGUAAUGUCUGGGAAACUGCCUGAUGGAGGGGGAUAACUACUGGAAACGGUAGCUAAUACCGCAUAAUGUCGCAAGACCAAAGUGGGGGACCUUCGGGCCUCCUGCCAUCAGAUGUGCCCAGAUGGGAUUAGCUAGUAGGUGGGGUAACGGCUCACCUAGGCGACGAUCCCUAGCUGGUCUGAGAGGAUGACCAGCCACACUGGAACUGAGACACGGUCCAGACUCCUACGGGAGGCAGCAGUGGGGAAUAUUGCACAAUGGGCGCAAGCCUGAUGCAGCCAUGCCGCGUGUGUGAAGAAGGCCUUCGGGUUGUAAAGCACUUUCAGCGGGGAGGAAGGCGUUAAGGUUAAUAGCCUUGGCGAUUGACGUUACCCGCAGAAGAAGCACCGGCUAACUCCGUGCCAGCCGCCGCCGUAA
rnacentral:rRNA from 1 species